rnacentral:other from 2 species
GUUUUUCUGAAAUAUACGUUAAGCUCUUAUUUUGAACCUACAUAUUAACUUCGGGAGUUCAAUAUUUAGAUGAAGAAAUGUACCUUUCUGUGAGUCCAUUUAAGGCAUUAAGGGCGAUUGAAACAUCUGUGAGGACACCCACCUAUCGAGAGAUAGGUGUCAAAAUCAGAGUACCGGUAUUUUGGAUAUAAU